rnacentral:rRNA from 1 species
AGCAGCCGCGGUAAUUCCAGCUCCAAUAGCGUAUAUUAAAGUUGUUGCAGUUAAAAAGCUCGUAGUUGAAUUUCGGGAUCAAUACGUUGGUCGUGCUUUCGGGUACGUACUGGCGUCAUUGGUUUCUCUCUUCUGACGAACCAUGAUGUCAUUAGUUUGGUGUUAUGGGGAGUUAGGACUGUUACUUUGAAAAAAAUUAGAGUGUUUAAAGCAAGCUAACGCUUGAAUACAUUAGCAUGGAAUAAUGAAAUAGGACGUUCGAUCCUAUUUUGUUGGUUUCUAGGAUUGACGUAAUGAUUAAUAGGGAUAGUUGGGGGCAUUAGUAUUCAAUUGUCAGAGGUGAAAUUCUUGGAUUUAUUGAAGACUAACUACUGCGAAAGCAUUUGCCAAGGAUGUUUUCAUUAAUCAAGAACGAAAGUUAGGGGAUCGAAGACGAUCAGAUACCGUCGUAGUCUUAACCAUAAACUAUGCCGACUAGGGAUCGGAUGAUGUUAAUUUUUUCAAUGACUCAUUCGGCGCC